AUGCUCCCUUUGGCAGCACAUAUACUAAAAUUGGAACGAUAUAGAGAAGAUGAGCAUGGACCCUGCACGUGGAUAAUGUGCAAGUUCAUGAACUGGCCCAUAUUCUU